UAGAGCGGCCACUUGAGUAUCUGGUCAAUAUAAUAGAUACUCUGUAAUAUAAAUAACGGUACAGGGAAAUAAGCGAGCACGGGGCAGUGCAAUCAGCCGUGUAGCCAACCUUCAAUCAUACAUUGGGUUUAAACUAGCCGAUACAGUUGUUGCAAAUAAUCUAUGGUGUUCUAGUAUCGAUAGGACAAUCGUCAACACGAGCAUGGCAACUCCUCUACCUCCUUGCGUGAUAGAUUGUGGGACAGGAUACACCAAGAUUGGAUAUGCUGGAAACACAGAGCCACAGUUUAUCAUGCCAUCCUGCAUCGCUAUACGAGAGUCAGCCGGUGUAGGAGACCAGGCACAGAGGCGACUUGCGAAGGGAGUGGAUGACUUGGAUUUCUUUAUAGGAGAUGAAGGCAUUGAUAAGCCCAACUAUGCAACCAAGUGGCCCAUCAGACAUGGGAUGGUGGAAGACUGGGAUUUGAUGGAGAAGUUCAUGGAGCAGAUCAUCUUCAAGUAUCUGCGGGCAGAGCCUGAAGACCAUAGCUUCCUUAUGACAGAGCCUCCGUUGAACACGCCAGAGAACAGAGAGUAUCUGGCUGAGAUCAUGUUUGAGACCUUUAAUGUCCCAGGCCUGUACAUCGCAGUGCAGGCAGUUCUAGCCCUGGCAGCAUCAUGGACGUCUAGACAAGUAGGCGAGCGAACACUGACAGGAAUCGUGAUUGACAGCGGAGAUGGAGUCACCCACGCCAUACCUGUGGCUGAAGGCUACGUCAUUGGGAGCUGUAUAAAACACAUCCCCAUAGCAGGUCGAGACAUCACCUUGUUUAUUCAGCAGCUCCUCAGAGAAAGGGAGGUGGGCAUCCCCCCGGAACAGUCCAUGGAGACAGCCAAGGCAGUCAAGGAGAGGUACUGCUACAUCUGUCCAGACAUUGUGAAGGAAUUUGCCAAAUAUGACACGGACCCUGGGAAAUGGAUCAAGAAGUACAAAGGCAUCAAUGCCAUCAACAAAUCUGAAUUCCACAUAGAUGUUGGAUAUGAACGCUUUUUAGGUCCAGAAAUAUUCUUUCAUCCAGAGUUUGCCAACCCAGACUUCACGCAGCCAAUCUCAGAUAUAGUUGACGAGGUUAUAAUGAACUGUCCAAUAGAUGUCAGAAGACCUCUAUAUAAGUUGUGUUGUGUACUGACACAUUACAGAAUAUUGUCCUGUCUGGCGGUUCCACCAUGUUCAGAGACUUUGGCCGGCGGCUGCAGAGAGACCUGAAGCGGUCGGUAGACGCCCGGCUCAAAUUGAGUGAGGAGCUCAGUGGAGGAAGGAUAAAGCCCAAGCCCAUGGAGGUCCUGGUGGUUACACACCACAUGCAGCGCUAUGCCGUGUGGUUUGGAGGAUCCAUGCUUGCCUCUACGCCUGAGUUUCUCCAGGUUUGUCACUCAAAAAAGGACUACGAUGAGUUUGGUCCCAGCAUCUGCCGCCAUAACCCUGUCUUUGGUACCAUGUCCUAAUGCUAAAACCCACACCUACAGAACCUGCUGUUGACCCCGGCCUGGGGUCAGUCCAUGCAUCGUGAUUGAUGUCCUUACUUUACCACCAUAGCACUCUAACCUACCACACAAGAGCCCCUUAGACGUUGAUGUGCAAUUGAAUUUGUCAACAAUAUAUUGUACAAUCAGUAUCGGCUAAUUAGAAUUCAUGUGAAAGGAUAAAAGUCAUUGAAUUAGACAAAGACCUCUUAUAGCACUCAUACAGUGAAUUUUCAAUAUUGUCAUUGUAGCAACAUUGCAGACUAUUUAAUAGAAUUAAACAAGAAAAAAUCUAAACUGGAACACUUUGUUUGAAGCCAUGAACUGAAGACUGUUUUCUUGCACCUACUCUCUUAGUUUCGCUGUACACUCUUAAGAUUAACUUUAGAUCCCAUCCCAGGCUGCAUGAAUCAUGUGGGAAGGCAACCCACGCUAAUUCUGGAGCAGCCCAAGUUACAUUUGUCCAAUAUCCAUAGAAAGUCAUGCUUUGAAAUUGUAUAUAAAAUAUAUAGAUAAAGAUACUAUAUAUUACAAUAUAACAUAUUUAGAAAUGUGUUUAUAUUUAUAUUAAAGAUUAUCAGAACAGGUAUAUAAAGAUGUAGAUCGUAUUGAGGUGAAAUAGUGUAACGUGAAAGAAGAGAUAUUUGGAGAGAUUUUGUUUAUUAGGUCCAAAAGUAUUUAUUAAAUUAUUUUUGUCAGCCACAAAUUAUCUAUGGUAUAUAGAUAUAUUGAAGUAUUUAUUUAUACAUUUCUGUGUAAGUUAUUUCCGUAGGGAACUGUGCUCACUAAAAAUCAAACUGCUGUAUGACGCUAAUGUGAAUAAAGGUACUUGGCACCUUCA